CAGCCUUGUAAUUCGGGGAUUGGCCCCGGAGUAUCCACGACCGGACCUUAAUCCGGUGUAUCCAGGGAAA
rnacentral:ncRNA from 1 species